rnacentral:tRNA from 1 species
AUUUGUUUAGUAUAAUAAAAGUACAUCUUCCUUCCAAGAAGAAAGUUUAUAAUAAUUAAAACAAAUA